AGGUAGCUUGCUACCAGGCGUCGAGCGGCGGACGGGUGAGUAAUGCUUAGGAAUCUACCGAGUAGUGGGGGAUAGCCAUUGGAAACGAUGAUUAAUACCGCAUAUAUCCUACGGGGGAAAGCAGGGGACCUUCGGGCCUUGCGCUAUUCGAUGAGCCUGAGUGAGAUUAGCUAGUUGGUGGGGUAAAGGCCUACCAAGGCGACGAUCUCUAGCUGGUCUGAGAGGAUGAUCAGCCACACUGGGACUGAGACACGGCCCAGACUCCUACGGGAGGCAGCAGUGGGGAAUAUUGCACAAUGGACGAAAGUCUGAUGCAGCCAUGCCGCGUGUGUGAAGAAGGCCUUCGGGUUGUAAAGCACUUUCAGCGAGGAGGAAAGGUUAGUCGUUAAUAUCGGCUAGCUGUGACGUUACUCGCAGAAGAAGCACCGGCUAAUUUAGUGCCAGCAGCCGCGGUAAUACUAAAGGUGCAAGCGUUAAUCGGAAUUACUGGGCGUAAAGCGCGCGUAGGUGGUUUGUUAAGUUGGAUGUGAAAGCCCAGGGCUCAACCUUGGAACUGCAUUCAAAACUGACUCACUAGAGUACGAGAGAGGUUAGUGGAAUUUCCUGUGUAGCGGUGAAAUGCGUAGAGAUGG
rnacentral:rRNA from 1 species